rnacentral:lncRNA from 1 species
GAAUAGUCCAUUGUUCAGCUAUUAGCCCUCCUCAACUUGCAACAAAUUGCUGUUCCCAUCUCAUUCUUUUCCCUCUUCCACGCGUCAUCAUUCUGCUCCUGAGUGGCUCGCUUGUGGGCGUGCUGGCAGGAUAUGGCAGCAUCUUCGGUUGUGCAUCAAGAAUUCGGCACACAGUAGCACGUUUAUAUGAAGGAUGUCAAACUGGACACCUACGAAGAUGGCAUCUCAGAGAGAGCUGACCAAGGGGUUGAAAAUGUAGAUAUUGGCAGAUGUUACUGUCCGAGGAACAGGCCGUGAAAGCUUUACUGCUGGCAAAAAGUGUCCAUAACCAGAGGUUAUAUCAGCUGUUUUGGUGAACCCCUCCCACAUCUGAACUGGCUGACAGAGGGCACAGCAUGAUCAUAGGUGAUGUCACUUGGUCGGGUCAACAGGAAGUAUUACUAAAGAGAUGCUUUACAUUCACUUACAGACAGAGAUGUAGUAGUCCCAGAGUUAAUGAUCCAAGGUAUGUUUUGAUGUGAGAGAGGAAGCCGGUCCCGUCAUCUCCACCUCACCCGCUCUUAAGAUAACCUUCGGGCCAACUGGGGGCCCAAGGCCGGUUAGGAGACACCGCAAUUGUGAUGAACUGAGAGAAUAAGGGUAGCACUGUAAUUCAUGAAUCAUAUGCUGUCUGCCGCUGUUCUUACCUCUUUCCCUUUGUCUUCUACACCUCUCUCCCCACCUCGUCUUUCUUCCUCGUUUUAUAAUGCACACCAUAUGUGCAUUGAGGUACAGUUUGACCUUGUAUUUAUAAUAUUACAAUUCUCAUAAUUAUAAUGCAAUUACGCAUUUAACACCUGGAUAAUGAAGUUCUUUCAAUGAAGCGUUUCACAUUCUCGACUGGUUGAAAUUAAGUAUCUCAUUGAAAUACUACCCUGUGUCCUCAGAUUAAUGCAGAUGAAGGGAGUUAGAUAUCCAAUGUUUUUUUCUGUAUAUAUGAGUUACAAAUCAAUAAUGUUUCUAGUCUAUUGCAUAGUUACAAUGUGUAAUCCUUGAUGUCCCAGGAGCAG